rnacentral:tRNA from 1 species
AUUUAAAUAGCUUAAUUAUUAGAGUGCAAUAUUGAAGAUAUUGAGGUGAUAGAAAAAUCUUUAAAUA